rnacentral:lncRNA from 1 species
AGGAGAAACAGGAAGGGUCCCUUUUCCCAUCUGCUCUUGCUCCAGUGGCAGGAUGUGAUCCACCGGCAAGGGAGGAUGCCAAUAUGGUGUCCGAUAAGCUUCCUUUCUAGAAGUCUGUUUGGCACAUUCAUCUUUUUGCAACCCCCGGAGAUUAACCAAGACCACUUCCAUGACCCUGGAUGUGCAGAUAUACAUCGAAGGUUCACAGUAUGUGGAAGUGGCUUCCAAAUGCAAAUUCUUGGCCUUCAGGACAGACCCAUUGAAUCAGCUCCAUAAAAUGAGCCCACCAAACAAUAUUCUAAUGACUCCUCUAAUUUUAGUGAACAAUAUUUCAGUGUCGGUGCAAAAAAACAAAAACAAACAAACAAAAAAAAAGACAAGUCUUCAUGGAGUUUGUUUAUAUGGUGGAUUACAUGGACAGAUUUAUGUUUGUUGAACCAACCCAUCUGUGGGAUGAAGCCUACUUGAUCAUGGAUGUUACUGCUCUCCAGAGAUGGAACCCAGUUUUUCCUGGUAAUUUUGCUGGACAUUAGAAAGACCUACAUGAUGUUGAAAUGCGAUGUAGUGGAAAGACUUUAACUUAUGGGAGACAUUUAUAAUCUUAAAGCCUUCUCUAUGUCACAGAUGAGGUAAUCCUCCCACCCCAGCUAAAUGACAACCUGAGAAGCUAUGCCAUAGAGUCCUGUUCUAGAAUGCCUAGUUACCUACUGGAUGCAACUUUUCCAUGAUAGUGAGAGAAAACAGAAGACUUUUUAGAGGAUCUUAACUGAAGUCUUUGUGAAACACUAUCUCUUUGAGAUCAUUCUGCAACAGUAAACUUCGAGGUUUCACUGUGGUUCUGUUUGUAUUUGCUUCAUGGUUUAUUGACAUAUCAUUGACAGAAAUGCUUAUUCAGCAUGCAUACGGUAUUGUGAUAUAAAAACAAAUGAUAAAGUGACUGUUACAAUUGCAUACUAUUACCACACAUUACUUAUGAUACUUAGCAAAUGGAAAAUGUCCAGGCCAACUACAGUUUGCAUGAAUAGAUGUCUGAAGCAGGGUGGCUGGAGCAGAGCAGACUGUGGAGGCAAAAGCAGAUGUAUGGCACAGAAUCCUGAAACUGAUUCUCCAUGGAUACCCAGGAAGACUUGACCAGAUAAAUCAGUGCUUUAGACUAGGGCUGGCUUGAGCCUGCUGCAUGUGAUCUUGGGAGUUUCACUGUAGAGUCUAUAUAUCUUCCUGAAAGAUGCCAUUCAAGAGCCCUGUUAGCAACAAAAGUGAACAAGGCCGGUUGUAUUCCCACAGCUCCUUGGAGCUUCAGUCAUAGAAAAUCCAGUGCAUGGAUACAAUUUCCAUCCUCCCUUCCAAAACAAACAAACAAACAAACAAAAAACAGAGACAACUUUGCAAUUGCACUGUUUUGGAGAGAGAGAGAAACAUCAUGAAGAUGG